GUGUCAGCCGUCGCGGUAAUACGAGUGGUGCAAACGUUAUUCGGAAUCAUUGGGCGUAAAGGGCGUGUAGACGGUAUGUUUAGUCUAUUGUUAAAUCCUUCGGCUUAACCGAAGAUCAGCGGUAGAUACUGGCAUGCUAGAGGGUGGAAGAGAGAAGUGGAAUUCUCGGAGUAGCGGUAAAAUGCGUAGAUCUCGAGAGGAACACCAAUGGCGAAGGCAUCUUCUUGGUCCACUCCUGACGUUGAGGCGCGAAAGCGUGGGGAGCAAACAGGAUUAGAUACCCGCGUAGUC
rnacentral:rRNA from 1 species